ACUGAACGCUGGCGGCAUGCCUAACACAUGCAAGUCGAACGGCAGCGCGGGGGCAACCCUGGCGGCGAGUGGCGGACGGGUGAGGAAUACAUCGGAAUCUACCCUGUCGUGGGGGAUAACCAGCCGAAAGGUUGGCUAAUACCACAUAACAUUACGUUCUCGCAUGGGGAUGUAAUCAAAGAUUUUAUCGCUGAGAGAUGGACUCGCGUCCGAUUAGCUAGAUGGUGAGGUAACGGCCCACCAUGGCGACGAUCGGUAGCCGGACUGAGAGGUUGAACGGCCACAUUGGGACUGAGACACGGCCCAGACUCCUACGGGAGGCAGCAGUGGGGAAUAUUGCACAAUGGGGGAAACCCUGAUGCAGCAACGCCGCGUGAAGGAAGACGGUCUUCGGAUUGUAAACUUUUGUUCUUGGUGAAGAAAAAUGACGGUAGCCAAGGAGGAAGCCACGGCUAACUACGUG
rnacentral:rRNA from 1 species